UUGAUCCUGGCUCAGGACGAACGCUGGCGGCGUGCUUAACACAUGCAAGUCGAACGAUGAAGCCUUUCGGGGUGGAUUAGUGGCGAACGGGUGAGUAACACGUGGGCAAUCUGCCCUGCACUCUGGGACAAGCCCUGGAAACGGGGUCUAAUACCGGAUACGACACAUCACUGCAUGGUGAAUGUGUGGAAAGCUCCGGCGGUGCAGGAUGAGCCCGCGGCCUAUCAGCUUGUUGGUGGGGUAAUGGCCUACCAAGGCGACGACGGGUAGCCGGCCUGAGAGGGCGACCGGCCACACUGGGACUGAGACACGGCCCAGACUCCUACGGGAGGCAGCAGUGGGGAAUAUUGCACAAUGGGCGAAAGCCUGAUGCAGCGACGCCGCGUGAGGGAUGACGGCCUUCGGGUUGUAAACCUCUUUCAGCAGGGAAGAAGCG
rnacentral:rRNA from 1 species